rnacentral:pre_miRNA from 1 species
GCGGUUGCCAGGCGGGGCCUCUCUACUAGUGCUGUGCAGAGGCUUUCACUGAGGCUGCUGUGAGACUGUAGAGUUUCCCCAUAGGCCGCAGAGCUGG